CGACGAGUAAAAAGUUGUGUUUGGUGGGUGGCAAUUUCUCAUUUGUUUCCUAUAAAAUUGUUUUAUAGGUAAGCCUAUUCUAUUAAUAAGCUUCCUUUUAAAAGGAGAAUAUUUUAGUGGAUCUUAAUAACUAUACUCCUAUAUAUAUAAAUCUAAAAAUCUACAUAUAUCCUACCGAUGAAAUUGAAUAUGAUUAAUAAUUUUAGUGCCUAAAAUAUCAAUAAAAUCAUGAUUUUGGCCCUUUAAUUUUUAGCUAAUUAUUUUAUACACCUUUAAUCCCUUUGACCAUAAAUCUUCACAUAUCUGACAAAUUAUUGAGCUUUGGUUAAAUUUAUAUCCUCAAUUAUUGGUGUGUUUGGUUAAAUUUAUGUUUGUUACUUUAUAUUUGAGGUAAUGUAUUUUCAAAAUUUAGGCUAUAUAUCACAUAAUUUUUAUAUAAAUGGAUCAAAAAUCACAUACUAUUACAAAAAUCUGAAAAAAAAAAAAAGGUCCAAAAUAUAUUUAAAUUUUGACAAAAUUUGCUGUAACACACCUUAAUUUUAUGGGAGUCCUAUGACCCCCCAGAUUAUUUUUUACUAUAUUUUUGCGUCAUAUAUUUACUAGCUGGGACUACUGUGUGAAUACAUGAACACGGAGCGAGUAAGGGUAUGAAGUGGUCCAGCUAAGCAAAUAUACGCCACAAAAAUACGCUAAAAAAUAAUCUACGGGAGGCAUAAGACACCCGCAAAGUUGAGGUUUGUUAUGGCAAAUUUCGCUAAAGUUUAAGUAUAUUUCAAACCUUUUCCCCAAAAUUAUGUGAUAUUCACUUAUAGAAGUUCGGGAAAGCGUUGGAUGGUAAAAAGUCUAUUGUACGCAGUUUAUCGUACAUUUCUACAAGUUUUUUUUUCCACG
rnacentral:lncRNA from 1 species